UACGUAGGUGGCAAGCGUUGUCCGGAUUUAUUGGGCUUAAAGGGUGCGUAGGCGGUUAUAUAAGUCAGUGCUGAAAUAUCCCGGCUUAACCGGGAGGGUGGCAUUGAUACUGUAUGACUUGAGUAAAGUUGAGGUUGGCGGAAUUGACGGUGUAGCGGUGAAAUGCUUAGAUAUCGUCAAGAACACCGAUAGUGAAGACAGCUAACUAAGCUUUAACUGACGCUGAGGCACGAAAGUGUGGGGAGCAAACAGG
rnacentral:rRNA from 1 species